rnacentral:rRNA from 1 species
GACAGAGGGUGCAAACGUUGUUCGGAAUUACUGGGCGUAAAGCGAGUGUAGGCGGUGUGGUAAGUCGGAUGUGAAAGCCCCGGGCUCAACCCGGGAAGUGCACUCGAUACUGCCACGCUAGAGUAUCGGAGAGGUUGGUGGAGUUCUCGGUGUAGAGGUGAAAUUCGUAGAUAUCGAGAGGAACACCGGUGGCGAAGGCGGCCAACUGGACGAAUACUGACGCUGAGACUCGAAAGCGUGGGGAGCAAACAGG